rnacentral:misc_RNA from 1 species
AACUUUUGGUAAUGGAUCACUUGGCUCUCGCAUCGAUGAAGAACGCAGCGAAAUGCGAUAAGUAAUGUGAAUUGCAGAAUUCAGUGAAUCGUCGAAUCUUUGAACGCACCUUGCGCCCUUUGGCUAUUCUGAAGGGCAUGCCUGUUUGAGUAUCAUGAACACCUCAACUCUCAUGGUCCGCCAUGAUGAGCUUGGACUUUGGGGGUCUUGCCGGACCAGCGUCGGCUCCUCUAAAAUGGAUCAGCUUGCCAGUGUUUGGUGGCGUCACAGGUGUGAUAACUAUCUACGCUUGUGGUUCCCCGCCAUGUAACCUUCAGUGAUGGAGGUCCGCUGGAGCUCACAGACGUCUCUCCUCGUGAGGACAGCUUUUUGAACGUUUGAUCUCAAAUCAGGUAGGACUACCCGCUGAACUUAAGCAUAUCAAUAAGCGGAGGCU